GUUUGAUGAUUCCUAGAUGACGAGUCUGAACCCGGUGUGGCAGAGUUUCUCUGUUGCACUCGAACGUGACGAGUCCUCCAAAUUUAUACCAUUCAUGCUUUUCUGAUC
rnacentral:snoRNA from 1 species